rnacentral:lncRNA from 1 species
AGCGUCAUUGUGACACUGCACAGCAGUGAUAUACAGUACACAAUCCGAACCUGAGGCUAUUGACUCGAAGGGAAUCAUGCACGAGCAUGGAUACAGAUACUAAUCUAAGUUCUGUCAAUCCAUCCCCAUCUACCUGCUGUUAUCGAAUAGCUAAGUAAAAUUGAUUUAGCUCGACUGCAAGCUAAAGACGAUAGCUUUUAUUAGACGUCAUAAGCUAACCGGCUAGCUAGCUCAUAUAGGAUGACAGACAGACUGCCCGAUGAGGGACACACCAAAUGCAGUGUUUGGAAUGCAGCCAAAGAUGGACUGAAAUGAAUGGAUUCCAAUUAUAUCAUUACAUUAACAGUUCAACACAUGGCCUCGUGAUCAAGUUCAACGAAUGUGUGAAUGCCACAGACAAGUGAGCCUUCAACCCUCUCCACAAGGCAGCUCAGAAGGCUGAUGAUAUGUGCCCUGUUUAUGGACACUAUGCCCCCAGAUGCAGAGAAGAGGGAUCACCAGCUCAGCUCAUCAAACUGUCCAAUUUUUACAGGGGACAACAGACUUGAUCGAGGUCUUCACGGUCCAAAAAGCCUGGUAAAUGACCUGAUAAAUCCUACCCCCGCAAACCUAUGUGAACUUUUACGUUUGCGGCAUAUUUCAGAGAUAAAAUAACCAACAUUAGGUGGGUUAACAGUCAAGCAA